rnacentral:rRNA from 1 species
ACUCAAAGGAAUAGACGGGGACCCGCACAACCGGUGGAGCGUGUGGUUCAAUUCGAGACGAAACGAAGAACCUCACCAAGGUUUGACAUGUAAUCGUUUAUUUCCCUAGAAACAGGGAGAAAUCCGUAAGGAUGAUUACACAGGUGCUGCAUGGCUGUCGUCAGCUCGUGCCGUGAGGUGUUCCCUUAAGUGGGGAAACGAGCGCAACCCCCGCGAAAUGUUAAAUAUUCAUUUCGGACGGUCCCCCAAUUUAGGGGGAAGGAAGGAGGGGAAGACGUCAAGUCAGCACGGCCCUUAUACCUUGGGCUACACACACACUACAAUGGCGAAAAACAACGGGCUUUGCAAGCGCGCAAGUGCAAGCUAAUCCCUUAAAUUUCGUCCCAGUUCAGAUUGGGGUCUGAAACUCGACCCCAUGAAGUCGGAAUCGGUAGUAAUCGCGGAUCAGCAUGCCGCGGUGAAUACGUUCUCGGGUCUUGCACACACCGCCCGU